AGAGGGGGGUGGAGGGGGUUGAGGGAAAAGGCCUAACCUGCUAUACUUAAUAACAUUCUUAUCCUUUUAUAACAUUUAACUGUUUUUGGGGUUUUUUUUUAAUUUUUUUUAUUUAGCCUUGCCCAGUUUUACUUGACUUCUAAGCACUCCAUAAUUGGACAGUUGUCAUUACAAGCGGUGAUUAUAAUCGAGUCUGUGCAUUGUGGGAUUCUUUUUAAAUUUCGCUGUCUUCCUGGAAAAGGAUUAAUGUUUGCGAUUUGCUGCUCCAACUGAGUGCAUAGAAGUUCAUGAGACCUUGUGGGAUUCAUCCCAGGUUACUCAGGGGGCUUGUUAAUGUCACUACAAGACAUUAUCUCCAUUAUUUUUCAGUGUCUGGAAGCUGUCAAUAGGUGAUCCUAUUUUCAAGAAGUGCAAGAAGGAAGACUGGUGGCUGGUCACUAUCGGAGGUCCCUAAAGCUAGCUCUCUUUAAUGUUUAAGUAAAUUACUUGGAAGUAGCACUAGAAGGUGUUUUGAGCCGGUUUGCUGAUUAUAUUAAAUUCAGAGGAGCUGUUGAAUCCAUCGAGGGUGGAGAUGUAGAGAGAUCUAGACAAAUCAGAAAGCUGGGCAAUCAUCAACCACACAAAGCUUAACAAGUGCCAGAUUCUGCACUUGGGAAAGGGCAGCCUUGGUUAUGCAUACUGACUGGGGGGAUGAGACACUGGAGAGCAGCCCUGCUGAAAGAGGUUUGGGGGUCUUGGUCAACAACAAGUUGAACAUGAGUCAACAGUGUGCCCAGGCAGCCAGGAGGAUCAACAGUAUCCUGGGGCAUACUGAGCAUGGUGUUGCUACCUGGUGGAGGAAAGUGAUUGUUCCACUCUAUUCCUUUCAGAAGACUCGGCCAAAAUAAUUAAGCUGAAUGCCUACUGGAAUUCUAGUUUAGAGAUUUUGAAAAAUACUAAUAAAUAUCUAAAACUGUUAUUCCUUUCUCAUACUUAGGUGGUAUUAUUUUUACUCCAUCAGUUUUUCUUUGGAAAGAUUUAUCCUGCCUUCUGAAUCAAACAGCUUGUUUUAUUUGGAGAGGGGAUCUGUGCUCUGGGUGUGCUGCUCGUACCUAAAAUUGUUAGGGUUUUUCUAAGACUGCUUCAAAGAGGAAAAUACCAAAAAUAAGCAGCCAUUCUACCAGUCGUAUACGAAACCUUGACUCACUGCAGCCCGAGGUGUAAUUUGGAAUGCAGCUUUUUGGAAGGACAAGUUUUUCCCGUUGCUGGAGAAGGCAGUGAGUCUAUGUCUUUUAUUUUAAACAAAACAUAAUUUGCAACAUGAGGAAUUGGUUGCUUUCAGGAGAGUGUGCUUUCAGGAGAGAUUUUAUGUGCUGUUGUUUUCCCCAGCUGAGCAACUUUUGGUAUGCCUGGAGGAAGGUGAAUUUUGAAGAGCUGCUGAUCACUUUAAAUUGGGUAUUCCUUUCCACAAAUGUAUUUCAAGGAAUUUGAGAUGAAGGAAAUCAUCUAAUCCAUCUGUGACUUUACAUCUUACAUUGAAGAAGUAAAAACGACAUGAUUUUGUUUGUUUACAUGAAAGCUACCCUGGUAGUAAUGUCUCUUGUUCUAUGAUGUUUGUAGAAGAUGAACCUUCCCACCAGUGUUCUGUGUUGCUGCCAUGUGACAGAUGACAGCAGAGGGGCACCGUGUCUGACAUGAUGGAAGAGUGUAUGGAGCAAAGGUAUGUCAUUGAAUUCCUCCAUGCAGUAAACGUUGCACCUGAUGUUCACUGAAGCUUGCUGGAUGUUUCUGGAGACAAAGCAGUGAAUGUGAGCACAGUGCUGUGGUGCAUUUCAGCAGUGUUGACAGUGAUGACAGUUUCAUCACACCAUGAAAAGAAACACAUCUCAAUCAGCUCAUCCAUAGAUUAUCACCAGUGUAUAUGUAUUUUUCUAAUGGAAAGGUUACUUUCUGAAUGUGACAAAAGUUCUAUUUAACCUAAGUAAGCUCAUAUUCAUGGCAGGUUUGCAGUGUUUGUCUGUUAUUAACCCAGAUGAAAAUAUUACUGCUCCCGUGAACUUUUGUUUUUCAUAAUAUGGAAACAUUCAGCUUGAUUUAAAUACAUAAUAAUUUUAAAAAGUUAUCAAACUAAUAAUUCCAAGAAAAUAUCAGUUAAUGAGUGCAGUAGGCGAAUGGCAAUGGGUUUGACUCUAAAACCAUUUUCAGUAUUUUCUGCUUAGAUGAAAGUGUUGAUGGAAGUGAAUGGGACUUUUCUGUCAUCUGGUUGAAUCCUAAUGAAUCUCUGGAUUCUUUUCCAUUGUUGGAAGCUCCUUCUCUUUAACUGCUUUGAAAAACAAAUAUUUCAUCUUGAGGAUGCGGUGUGUUGCAUGCUUUGCAGGCACACUUUGGUGUAGCUGCCUGCUUAACCCCAUAGUCAUUUUAUUUCUCACUUCUCCUCCUCCAAGUAAAUCUUGGUAUCACUUACAGAAAGGCAAAGGAAUACAGAGUCUUAACUUCUAGACUAGCAUAAAGGGGGCUAUGGCAAAUAAUGCACAGUCAGUUAUGAGAUACAAAGUAGUUUGUCAUGGUCUUAAUAACAUCCAGUCACAGGUUUCCUUUUCAUUUAUUCAGGAAGGUAAUUUGCUUCUUACAGACAUUACAUUUGAAGUUUUGUGUUGAUGUAUGUGCUUUCAAAACGUUUUUCUAAGCUUCUUUGGUCUAAGGACAAAAUUCAUCAAUACUGCUUCAGCUCCCUUUCAUUACAUACAUAAAUUGCAGUCUGAGUGUUUUGAUUUAACAAAAACAGGCAAAGUGUUGUUAGUUAUGUUGUCAGAUGCUUGAUUUUCACAAAAUGCUAGGAAUGCGUCUUGUCUAAUGGGUGCGUUCUGUUACUCUGGUCUGCUUUAUUGUGAAUUUUUAGUUCACAGGAAACUGAUGUAGUCAAAAUCAUUAGGAAGAGUGGCUGUUAGUUGUUGCUCUCCAGCACUUGUGAAAAUAUCAGAUAAAUAGAUGAGAAGUUGCAAAAUCGUCCUGCUUUCUUGACUGAGGAAAGAGAUUUAUCAGCCAGGGAAUUAAGAUUAUUUUUAGACAGCAUACAGAAGAUCUAAGAUAAUUUUCUGGAAUCAGAAAUCAAAGCAUUUGAAAUCCUGUGUAGAUAACAAGUUCUGGAGCAAGACCUUGUUUGCUUGUGCUGCUUUGGAGUAAGCUGUAACUUAAGCUUCAAUGUUAAGAAUUAAUUAAAGUUUGUGUGGUGCUACGUUUUGUACCUCACUAAGAUUCAAAAGGGAACAAAUGAUACAGCAUGAGGGAGCUCAGUAAUUUUUGAAGCUUAGAAUGUUAGUAUCAGUUCAGUUUCCUUUUCCUGUUUGUACAGGUGUUUGAGAAUAGCUCAGUAGUUUGAAGGGGUGGGAGAGGAGGCAGAUGUCAUAAGGAUGUUUUUGUAAAGAUCAGCAUCAUCCUUCAUAUCAUAGGACUGGGAAGAUGUCAGGGUUGGAGGAUUUCUGUUUUGAGUGUAUGAAGUAAUUGGACUUUUAAUCAUUAUUAACUUCAGAAGAAAGACGUUGCAGCCUGCAACUGCUGUUUUCCCUGCGAAGUCUUGUCUGUAUCUUGUGGUGCUGUCCUGAAAACAUUGAGUGCUGUCAGCAGAAGAUCAAGUAUAAAGACACAGUGGAGCAGUAUGUUGAUACUCCAUGUCCUUGUCAGCAUUCUGUAAGUCAAAGCCCUGUCUAGCUCUGGGUAUUCUUCUCUUGAGGCUGUAACCAGCUGAGAAGAAAGAAAUGAGUGCUCAUGACUGUUGAUACCAGAACCUCCAAACUGUGCUCACAUCCACUGUUUUGUCUUCAGAAACAUUCAACAAGCAUCAGUGUAUGUCAGUGGUUUUUUUCUGCAUGGAGGAUUCACACCUUUGUUCAUAUGUACUUCCAUGUCAAAUACCAUUUUGUCAGACUGCCCCUCUGCUGCCAUCUGUCAUAUGACAGCAAAAUGUAAUGGAGUGUUGGUGGGAAGGUUCAGCUUCUACUGCCGUACCACCAACAUCCACUUCUGUGUCUGGAGCCACUGGUAUAAAAUAGGAGGCAUUACCUUUGGAGCAGCCCUCGUAUUUUUACCUUGUCUCUAACAGUUCUGUUGGGAAGGUCUCAGUGCUUAUGUUCAGUGAUUCUGUUCAGAUCAAAGUUUGCUUUCUGUCCAGAAGUAUUUCUAACUGGACUUCACCUGCAGGCUGGAAGAAGUAGUACAAUUACGUACAGUCCUGUGCCAAAAUCAGCUGUUGGUAGCAGUUCAUCCAUUGGCUGCACUACCCUAUCUGUGUAUGAUGAAUGAUUCCAUUUUUAUUGAGUUCUUAUUUUCUUUCUCUCUAUGUUCUGACUGUCACAUCUCAUUUUCUUGACUGUCAAAACUCUUUAUUUCCAUUAACCUGUCAAUUAGAAUAUAGCAAAUUGCUUGCCUUGGGGCUGUUUUACCUGUUUACAUGACUGUCUCUUCCAGGAUCUUUGGUAGCUCCUGUUGUGAGAGGGCUAUAGGCACGAAUACACAGAUAUGCGUGUACACAAGACCAAGAAGGAAGAGUAUAUAAAACUGUAUUUUUCUUGUUAUUCAUACAAAACUUUGUGCAUAUUUUUACUUCAUUAACAAAAAGGAAGUGUUGUCUGUGUUUCUGCCAGCAGCAGCAGAGCUUUUGACUGGAUCAGGCUUCUUUGUAUAUGUGUGGCAUAUGUGCUGUAGAACUAACACUGCAAUAGUUUUGUUGGUUCAUUGAGGUAUUGUUUCUUUAUCUUCACAAAACACUUCAGAUAUAUACAAAGGGCUCUUUUUUAUCUUUUCUUUUUUUCUUCUCCUCAGCAAUGUAAUCUGUAUUGUAGAUUAUAAGGAUCAUGCACAGUUUCUAUGGAUCUAAUCCAAGUGUAAUUGAUAGACGUAUCACUUGAUUAAGGGCUGGGCACACAUCUGAACAGCCUGAACAACCAAACAACCCCAUAUUUAGAGCAGAAAAUCUGCUAGACUACCUGCCUUUUUUGAAGUGGAAACAUGGUAGAAGACAGAGGUAAUGUCUACAGCCAUUGAAACUGCCUCUUGAACUGUUUUAUGAACAUACAAGCUAGUAAAGUUCAACUGUGAACUUGUUUAAGCUUAUUCCAAAAGUGAAGUCAUUUCUGGCAUCUAAAGCAAGUCCUUGAAGCUUUAAUAUCAUGGCUCUAUAAACUGUGUUCUUGUGCAUUACAAAUAGACUAUUAGUAAGCACCAUUUAAGACAUGAAUUUGGACUGUUUUGCUUCCACCCGUAUGUACAGUUCAGAAGGUCAGGCAUUACCGCAGUAUCUCUCCUGUUAUUUUAGGGCUCUCAUGUUAUGGUUGGCCCUGCUCACUUGGCGUUUGGUUUCAGUUAGUUUUUCCAUGGGUUUGGCUUUUUAGAAUAAAAACGUAUCAAGAAAAAUCCAGCAAGUUGCAAAGUUCACAAAGACCGAGGACUUUUAGAUGUUAGCAGUUGAAAGGAGAUAAGCAUCUCAGUUUAACUGCGACUGUUUAACCUAAAUAUAGCGAGCCUAAGUUAUGGGUGAUGGAGACAGCAAAAUUUGUUGUGGGUUGUGGAGCAGGGAGAGGCAAGAGGAAAAUAAAGGCAGUUUGUAUUGUAGUAGCUGUGGAUUGCUUUCCUACUUGUGCCAUUUUUUGCUGAGCUGCUCUAAAUUUAGAGGUAAACAUGUGAAAGAGGAGAAAUGGUGCUCUUCAUGGCAGUAUAGUUCAGUAAUUAGUUCAGUAAAUAAUACAAAGAGUGGAAGAGGGAUUUCCUUCGGGUUAAAAUGCUGACCCUUUGAUCCCCAGCUGUGGCUCAUCAUUUAAACUGGUGUUUUUCUUGUUGCUGUGGUUUUCACUGUAAGAUGUUGUUUUUAACCUCUGUGUGAAGACCUGUGCAGCAAAUGUAGGCAGCCUUUGUUUAAAGAAUGCCUGGGGGGUAAAGUGAAUUCCAAGGACUAUAUUUCAAAAUGUAUGUGGCUGUUUAAAUGAUCAAAUUCUAGUAUUAAAAGGAGUGUGUGUAUCCUAUGUUGCCUCAGGGUUUAUAGACUUGCCAUCUAAUUGAUGUGGUAAGAUUUUCCAAACUGGGAACAGCUUAAUACUUGAAAAAAAUGUUAACCCCUUUCUUAAGACUGCUUUUGAAUAUUGAAUGAAAUACAUUAAUGCCAGCGUGAAAGAGGUGCAUUUUCUGUAGCUGUGCAUUAGUAAGAGACUAGCUGCUUAUGUAUAAACACUAGAAGGCAUGGGAGGCCUGAAGGAAUGUGUAUUUAUGUCAUAAAGAAGUUUUAGAUAAAUGUCAAUCCAGAGAGUGCACAACUGUAUAAGAAACCUGUGAGUGUGGAAUCCUGAAACGUAGAGUUUAGUUGAUCUUUUUGGACUCUGCAAACAAUCUGCUGUCAACAGGAAUUUGAUGCUGGAGCCCUAACAGGACUGUGCCCAGAGGUCAGUGAGAGACCAGGAAGCCUUAAUAGAAAGCACAGAUUAAGUUGGUAGGAAGAAUCUACAUCUCCCAUUAUUUUCCACACCUGAGAGAGCAUUUAUGGCUCAUGCUGACACUGUGUGCAUUAGCUAAUUUUGACAGGUUUUGGUGUAGUCCCAUUUCUUUAAAUAUGUGUGUCAGUAUCAAGACAUGGAGCUUGGGUUUGUUUCAAAUUUCAGGUCUUUUAUGGCUCUUAUUCUAAGCCAAAUUAAAACUUGUUUCAAGACUGCACCAUUGUGGUAAUGUAGAUUCAUCAUACUCAUAGGAAUUUGUGUGUUUAAAGACUGAGAUUUACAGCACUAGUAAUCUAGCACUAGUGUCUAGUCACUGUGUGUGCAAAUCCUUGUUAUGUGGAAUACUUUGCUUGAUUUUAAACCAUUUCUGAGUAAAGGUGAACUUCUAAUGUGCACAAGUUUCUCUUCAUCUUUUGCUGACAUCCUGUAAUGUUGUAAAAUGUGCUGUUGAGCAAUUUGAAGUACAGUUGGAAUAAAGAAUGUUGUCCCAAGACAGUUUUUAUUAUAUAUGUCCAAGAAGUGUGACAAGAAACCUAGAUCAUCUCUUGGUUCUAGCUAACCGGACUUGGCUCCAGACUAUCAGAGGAAAUUACUCAGUGAAAAUCAGAGUCAUCUUGGAUAGUCCAGCAGACAACUGCUGUGCCAAUGGAGAGGUACUGCUGUAAAACCAAGUGUAGCUCUGCAUAAUGAACUGUAGCUGCUUUAUUUGAAUAAUGUUGGCUGACUCUACAGUAAUGUGAGAAUUAAAACUGAGAACAUAAGUAUUUCCUUGCAAAGGAAAGAACCAAGCCUCCAGAAAGAAACAAGAAUGUCUUUUAAAAUUAUUUUUUAUUUCUACGUAGUGUUGCCCAGUUCAACAAGGGCUUGGUUGACUAACUUGACUGAGGCCCCAUUAAAAUGGAUUUUACUCCGGGUCACGUAGAGUUUAAGAAGUUCAGGAAGAGAGCAGAAGAAAUAUUUUUGUGUGCUUUCAGCAGGCCUCUGCAGGGCCUCGGCAGUAAGGGAGCUAUUGUGUGCGAAGAGCUCGAUCCAUUGGAUACAACCCGUUAACCUGGGAGGGGAAAGGGGAGCGUUGUAGCUAAUGGCAGGAAAUCUACUAUUUAUUAUCAGUCAAAACUCAAAAGUAUGUGUAAAUCUCCAGGGAGAACAAGGAUGUAAACGUAGAUCACGUUCAUUAAGAAGUAUCUAUGCCCAGCUUCUUUCCUGCUUAACGAUAUGAAGUACUAAGACCCUCUCUCGUGUCUUCUCCCAUGUUUUUUGCAUGACUUCCAAGUAAUUUUUCCUCUUUCCUUGUGGUUCCUUUUUACUUCAAUAAAUCCCCACCAAAAAUUGUACACAAAAACGGAGAAAAGAAAUGCCACAGCCUUCAAUUUGGGGAAACAUAUCUAUAUAUACAUCUAAUUUCCUUAACCUAAAGAGCACUCUUACUUAGUGUAUAUUUGAAGCUGAUGAAGCUGUACUUCAAUGACUACCGGUCUAUGGAAUGAGAUAUGAGAAAAGAAAAAGCUACUUGAAUUCAUGGAAGUUUUUGAGUUUUAGACUUUCUUCUUGGCCAAGAACUAGCUAGGGUCAGAAUCUGACCCUUCCUCGGUGUGAUUGUAGUCCAAGUUUUUACCUAAGCCUCGGUGAGUUGGCGAGCAUCAGGACUGCAGUAAUGAGCAGUACACAGGACCAGCUCUCAUUGUGGGAUUGGGCUGGUCUUGGAAAAUCUGGGAUGUGAACAACUGGUAGAUGUUCUGAGCUCUGAUCUCCUUCAGGAUGGCGGUGGUAGAUACUGCUGUAGAGACUGUAUGUUUGAUAUUCUUGAGUACUGAGCAUUUUAAAGAUGGAUUUUGCCACAGAUACUGAAACUCUAAUGAUUCUGGUUUUGUUGUUUGUUUAAGACUGUAGCUAUUUUAAGAUUUAGUAUGAAGUGUUCCACAGACAUUGUCAUCCUUUGAUGUGUUCCAGAAGUGGGAAUUUUAACCUUACACAGGAGAGAAAAAAUUAUGGCUAAAUAUAAUUGACCAGAUGAUGAAUUGGGACUAAGCUUCUGAAGUCUUGGGAUUUGUUUAGGCCUGCUAUGGUAUUGGGUAGGAAACAGCACCACAGAGUAAGGCACCUGCCAUGCCAGGCCUUAGCAGAAUGCUCUGUGCUAGAAAUAGUGAUGGGAAUGGGGCCGUUGUUCCAUUCUUUUAUCUCUUCAUGUAUCACUGACUAAUGCCACUCAGAAAUCUUCUGAUGAAAUAAGUCCAUUUGCUGAACUGGAAUUGUUGUCAGGUAAGAUUCAACAAACUAGCUGAGUUUUGUGAUAUUCCUAUUCUGAUGUCUCUCUCUCUCUUCAUUUUUUUUUUUCUUUUCCAAAUUCAGCAUUGAAAUGCAGCUUUCGGUCAGAUAAAGGAAAUCAAAAUCUGAAGGAAAUAUUCCAAGUGUGUGGAAAGCAAAACUUCUCUCACGCCUUUCUAUUCUUCUGCAUGUGAUUAGUCUGUGGACAUUUUCCCCUCCAAAUUUUCAGCUUCUUUUGUGGUGAGGAAAAACAUUUGAAUUCUUAAAUGCUGACAGGUUAGAGAAACUGUUUCCCUCGCUGCUUCCCUUGUAACUGUGGAGUCCUUGUCUGAGGGCUGAUAGCACUGGGAAGGCAGCCAGGACAGA